rnacentral:rRNA from 1 species
AGAACGAACGCUGGCGGCAUGCCUAACACAUGCAAGUCGAACGCGUGUAGCGAUACACGAGUGGCGGACGGGUGAGUAACGCGUGGGAACCUGCCCUGGAGUGUGGGAUAACCGAGGGAAACUUCGGCUAAUACCGCAUACGACCUGAGGGUGAAAGAUUUAUCGCUCUAGGAGGGGCCCGCGUCGGAUUAGCUAGUUGGUGGGGUAAAGGCCUACCAAGGCAGUGAUCCGUAGCUGGUCUGAGAGGAUGAUCAGCCACACUGGGACUGAGACACGGCCCAGACUCCUACGGGAGGCAGCAGUGGGGAAUAUUGGACAAUGGGGGCAACCCUGAUCCAGCAAUGCCGCGUGAGUGAUGAAGGCCUUAGGGUUGUAAAGCUCUUUCGCGCGCGACGAUGAUGACGGUAGCGCGAGAAGAACGCCCGGCUAACUUCGCGCCAGCAGCCGC